rnacentral:rRNA from 1 species
AAUGAACGCUGGCGGCGUGCCUAACACAUGCAAGUCGGAUGUGCCGCAAGGUGCAUGGCAGACGGGUGUGUAACGCGUAGGGAAUCUACCUCUUUGCGGGGGAUAACGCUCCGAAAGGAGUGGUAAUACCGCAUGAGACCGUUUUCUGGGAUGGAGACGGUGAAACCUGGGGACCGCAAGGCCUGGGGCAAGGAGAGGAUCCUGCGUCUGAUUAGCUAGUUGGCGGGGUAAUGGCCCACCAAGGCGACGAUCAGUAGCCGGCCUGAGAGGGUGAUCGGCCACACUGGAACUGAGACACGGUCCAGACUCCUACGGGAGGCAGCAGUGGGGAAUUUUUGCGCAAUGGGCGAAAGCCUGACGCAGCAACGCCGCGUGGGUGAUGAAGGUCUUCGGACUGUAAAACCCUGUCGUCAGGGACGAAGAUGUAUACGUUAAUAGCGUGUGCAUUUGACGGUACCUGGAGAGGAAGCCCCGGCU